UCGAAAACCAUUACUGAACAAACCAAGAGAAGAAAAUGAUUGCUCGGCUUUGUUCGCGCCAAUAAAAAUAUCAAUUCUGCAUCUAACUUCUUUGCAAGGAAUACUUUCUGCGCCGGUUUAUCUGUUAUAUGGAUUAACGAUUUCCUUUAUUUGGUCAGAGUUUAGUCGUGCCUACGUUUCGUGUGUGGUUGGGCUAAGUCAGGUUGGACUAACAAGUGCGCUGGUCGACUUGCUAUCACUUACUGUAUCUGUGAUAAUAUCAAGAUGUGCCUCAAAUUUUGGAAUGUUUUACAUUUUCAUCUUUGGUAUGUGUUACGACAUUGCAUUGUACGUUGCUACUCUGGUCUGGGUUCCAACAUCAUCGACUUCAUAUGUUGUCUACAUUUUUGCUCCACUUUUCGGAGUCACUCAUGCAGUUAGAAGGAAUACACAAUAUCUAACAACAUCCGCUCUAUGUCCAGAUAAAGAUGUAGGGUUCGCGAUACAGAAUGUCCUCGGUGGAAUAGGCCUGAUGAUGACUUAUGCUUGGACAACUGCUUUCUGCGUUUAUGUUAAAAUAUAUAUUAUGACAGGAUCAGUGGUUGCCGCAACAGUACUUUGGAUACUUGCCGAUAGAAUACACCACAAUAAGAAAUUG